rnacentral:rRNA from 1 species
UACAGAGGGUGCAAGCGUUAAUCGGAAUUACUGGGCGUAAAGCGUGCGUAGGCGGAUAAUUAAGUCAGAUGUGAAAGCCCUGGGCUCAACCUAGGAAUUGCAUCUGAAACUGGUAAUCUAGAGUAUGGUAGAGGAUAGUGGAAUUUCUGGUGUAGCGGUGAAAUGCGUAGAUAUCAGAAGGAACACCAGUGGCGAAGGCGACUAUCUGGGCCAAUACUGACGCUGAGGUACGAAAGCAUGGGUAGCAAACAGG